rnacentral:rRNA from 1 species
AAUUCGCUAUAAGAUGGACCCGCGUCGCAUUAGCUAGUUGGUGAGGUAAUGGCUCACCAAGGCGACGAUGCGUAGCCGACCUGAGAGGGUGAUCGGCCACAUUGGGACUGAGACACGGCCCAGACUCCUACGGGAGGCAGCAUG